CAGAGGUCCCGAGCGUUGUUCGGAUUUAUUGGGCGUAAAGGGUGCGUAGGCGGCGGAGUAAGUUGGGUGUGAAAUCCCGGGGCUCAACCUCGGAAUUGCAUUCAAUACUGCUUCGCUCGAGUACUGGAGAGGAGACUGGAAUUUACGGUGUAGCAGUGAAAUGCGUAGAUAUCGUAAGGAAGGCCGGUGGCGAAAGCGAGUCUCUGGACAGUUACUGACGCUGAUGCACGAAGGCCAGGGGAGCAAACGGGAUUAGAUACCCCGGUAGUCCUGGCAGUAAACGGUGCGCGUUUGGUGUGGGGGGAUUCGACAAUCUCCGCGCCGGAGCUAACGCGUUAAACGCGCCGCCUGGGAAAUACGGUCGCAAGAUUA
rnacentral:rRNA from 1 species